UUGGUUUGAUACGGGUGGUCGGCUCCCUGCUUGAGCAGGCACGGCCACGCGUGCAUUCCUUUUCAGCUGUGCGGCAAGGCUUGUAUAGUCUUGAUCGUAUAAGUGGGUUUCCUGUGUUGCAUACCUGAUCAACGGCAUCGUUUCGAUCAAAAGCUUACCUUUUUCGUCUAGUGUUGCACCCGCACCAUUGGAUGAACCGCGUAGCAUUCUCUUUGAUCCACACAAUUGACAUUCAUUGUUAGUUGUUUGGCCCAUUGAGCGUGUCUUGGUCCCUUGAAUAUGGAAGCCAAAGUGGGCACGGGAUCGUAAGAUCCGUUUAGUGCCCUAAUUGAGCGUUUUCGCUUCUCUUAYACGACUGCCUCUCACGUAUGGCACGUCCCAGCGUGUUUGGCUAUGUCGAAGAGGAAUGU
rnacentral:misc_RNA from 1 species